UACGGAGGGUGCAAGCGUUAUCCGGAUUUAUUGGGUUUAAAGGGUGCGCAGGCGGAAUUGUAAGUCAGUGGUGAAAGCCCACAGCUCAACUGUGGAACUGCCAUUGAUACUGCUAUUCUUGAAUAUAGUUGAAGUAAGCGGAAUGUAUCAUGUAGCGGUGAAAUGCAUAGAUAUGAUACAGAACACCAAUUGCGAAGGCA
rnacentral:rRNA from 1 species